UCAUGCGAAACGCACCGCGGCAGGGGCGGGGGAACCAGGUAAGUCGCCCUGGGGCGGUCCUGACGGACCGGUCCGGGGCUAGGGGUGAAGCCGGGCGCGCCGAGAGGUGCGCGCGGCCGGGCAACUCCAGCCCGAAUCCGACAGCUCACCUCGCAGGCGUGGGAGAGGAACG
rnacentral:sRNA from 1 species